rnacentral:rRNA from 1 species
GACGAACGCUGGCGGCGUGCUUAACACAUGCAAGUCGAACGGAAAGGCCCUGCUUUUGUGGGGUGCUCGAGUGGCGAACGGGUGAGUAACACGUGAGUAACCUGCCCUUGACUUUGGGAUAACUUCAGGAAACUGGGGCUAAUACCGGAUAGGAGCUCCUGCUGCAUGGUGGGGGUUGGAAAGUUUCGGCGGUUGGGGAUGGACUCGCGGCUUAUCAGCUUGUUGGUGGGGUAGUGGCUUACCAAGGCUUUGACGGGUAGCCGGCCUGAGAGGGUGACCGGCCACAUUGGGACUGAGAUACGGCACAGACUCCUACGGGAGGCAGAAGUGGGGAAUAUUGCAAAAUGGGCGGAAGCCUGAUGCAGCAACGACGCGUGCGGGAUGACGGCCUUCGGGUUGUAAACCGCUUUCGCCUGUGACGAAGCGUGAGUGACGGUAAUGGGUAAAGAAGCACCGGCUAACUACGUG